UUACCUCGGCCUAUGCCUGCUGCCCUGUGCCUGCUUGGCUGCAGCACAGCCAUGUUCUUUACGAUCAUUUUGUUUAGGGAACUGCUCCUUGAGUUGGCUAUCCUGUGUGAAUGGAAUGUAUGACAGCCUGAAAAGUAUAUCUUGGUAGAGUUUAGGGUUCAAUUACUUUAUGGGUACUAUCGGGAAGCAGUAAAUACAUCAAUGUAACUUUCAAAAUUAUAUGGGUUAUUUCCCUCUAGAUCCUAGCAAGAACGCUACAAUUCAGGAAAUCUAUAUUCCCAUUGUACAGAUUCAGAACUUGAGGCUUAGAGAGAUAUAGUAACUUGGUUCAUGUCACAAGGUACAACGUAUUUCAGGCAGUAAGAAGGAAGGAAAAAGAAGACAUGACACUCAUGUACAUCUACUUAUGGCUUACUGGAAAAUGCUGUCACACUGCCCCACCUAGCA